AGUGGAGCACCCGCGUCUUUCCUCAUUCACGAAUGCUACAAUGUAACGGACCGCUUUGAUCGCAGUCAUCCGGAGCUCAUGUUUGUGUGCGCGAUCGUACUCUUGUUUGGCUGAAUUCAAGAAAAGCAGACAAGGAAGGAGAGGAAGUAGAAUAGAGCAGUUGACUCCUGCGAGCUCUGCACCACAAGGUAAACUGCCUUCACUGAGGACCUGAAGUCAUG